UGGAAGUAAAAGUCGUAACAAGGUUUCCGUAGGUGAACCUGCGGAAGGAUCAUUACCGAGUUUUCGAGCUCCGGCUCGACUCUCCCACCCUUUGUGAACGUACCUCUGUUGCUUUGGCGGCUCCGGCCGCCAAAGGACCUUCAAACUCCAGUCAGUAAACGCAGACGUCUGAUAAACAAGUUAAUAAACUAAAACUUUCAACAACGGAUCUCUUGGUUCUGGCAUCGAUGAAGAACGCAGCGAAAUGCGAUAAGUAAUGUGAAUUGCAGAAUUCAGUGAAUCAUCGAAUCUUUGAACGCACAUUGCGCCCCUUGGUAUUCCGGGGGGCAUGCCUGUUCGAGCGUCAUUACAACCCUCAAGCUCUGCUUGGAAUUGGGCACCGUCCUCACUGCGGACGCGCCUCAAAGACCUCGGCGGUGGCUGUUCAGCCCUCAAGCGUAGUAGAAUACACCUCGCUUUGGAGCGGUUGGCGUCGCCCGCCGGACGAACCUUCUGAACUUUUCUCAAGGUUGACCUCGGAUCAGGUAGGGAUACCCGCUGAACUUAAGCAUAUCAAUAAGCGGA
rnacentral:rRNA from 1 species